rnacentral:rRNA from 1 species
UACAGAGGGGGCAAGCGUUAUUCGGAAUUAUUGGGCGUAAAGGGCGCGUAGGCGGCUUCGCAAGUGGAAGGUGAAAUCCCUCGGCUUAACCGAGGAACUGCCCUCCAACUGCGUUGCUUGGGGCCGGGAGAGGUGAGUGGAAUUCCCAGUGUAGCGGUGAAAUGCGUAGAUAUUGGGAGGAACACCAGUGGCGAAGGCGGCUCACUGGACCGGUUCUGACGCUGAGGCGCGAAAGCGUGGGGAGCAAACGGG